rnacentral:rRNA from 1 species
CCCAGCUUGCUGGGUGGAUCAGUGGCGAACGGGUGAGUAACACGUGAGCAACCUGCCCCAGACUUCGGGAUAAGCCUUGGAAACGAGGUCUAAUACUGGAUAUGAGGUCACAUCGCAUGGUGUGGUCUGGAAAGAUUUAUCGGUCUGGGAUGGGCUCGCGGCCUAUCAGCUUGUUGGUGGGGUAGUGGCCUACCAAGGCGACGACGGGUAGCCGGCCUGAGAGGGCGACCGGCCACACUGGGACUGAGACACGGCCCAGACUCCUACGGGAGGCAGCAGUGGGGAAUAUUGCACAAUGGGCGCAAGCCUGAUGCAGCGACGCCGCGUGAGGGAUGAAGGCCUUCGGGUUGUAAACCUCUUUCAGCAGGGAAGAAGCGCAAGUGACGGUACCUGCAGAAGAAGCGCCGGCUAACUACGUGCCAGCAGCCGCGGUAAUACGUAGGGCGCAAGCGUUGUCCGGAAUUAUUGGGCGUAAAGAGCUCGUAGGCGGUCUGUCGCGUCUGGUGUGAAAACUCAAGGCUCAACCUUGAGCUUGCAUCGGGUACGGGCAGACUAGAGUGCGGUAGGGGAGACUGGAAUUCCUGGUGUAGCGGUGGAAUGCGCAGAUAUCAGGAGGAACACCGAUGGCGAAGGCAGGUCUCUGGGCCGCAACUGACGCUGAGGAGCGAAAGCAUGGGGAGCGAACAGGAUUAGAUACCCUGGUAGUCCAUGCCGUAAACGUUGGGCACUAGGUGUGGGGCUCAUUCCACGAGUUCCGUGCCGCAGCAAACGCAUUAAGUGCCCCGCCUGGGGAGUACGGCCGCAAGGCUAAAACUCAAAGGAAUUGACGGGGGCCCGCACAAGCGGCGGAGCAUGCGGAUUAAUUCGAUGCAACGCGAAGAACCUUACCAAGGCUUGACAUACACCGGAAACUUCCAGAGAUGGUUGCCCCGCAAGGUCGGUGUACAGGUGGUGCAUGGUUGUCGUCAGCUCGUGUCGUGAGAUGUUGGGUUAAGUCCCGCAACGAGCGCAACCCUCGUCCUAUGUUGCCAGCACGUGAUGGUGGGGACUCAUAGGAGACUGCCGGGGUCAACUCGGAGGAAGGUGGGGAUGACGUCAAAUCAUCAUGCCCCUUAUGUCUUGGGCUUCACGCAUGCUACAAUGGCCGGUACAAAGGGCUGCGAUACCGUAAGGUGGAGCGAAUCCCAAAAAGCCGGUCUCAGUUCGGAUUGGGGUCUGCAACUCGACCCCAUGAAGUCGGAGUCGCUAGUAAUCGCAGAUCAGCAACGCUGCGGUGAAUACGUUCCCGGGCCUUGUACACACCGCCCGUCAAGUCACGAAAGUCGGUAACAC